GACGAACGCUGGCGGCGUGCUUAACACAUGCAAGUCGAACGGAAAGGCCCUGCUUUUGUGGGGUGCUCGAGGGGCGAACGGGUGAGUAACACGUGAGUAACCUGCCCUUGACUUUGGGAUAACUUCAGGAAACUGGGGCUAAUACCGGAUAGGAGCUCCUGCUGCAUGGUGGGGGUUGGAAAGUUUCGGCGGUUGGGGAUGGACUCGCGGCUUAUCAGCUUGUUGGUGGGGUAGUGGCUUACCAAGGCUUUGACGGGUAGCCGGCCUGAGAGGGUGACCGGCAACAUUGGGACUGAGAUACGGCCCAGACUCCUACGGGAGGCAGCAGUGGGGAAUAUUGCACAAUGGGCGGAAGCCUGAUGAAGCACCGCCGCGUGCGGGAUGACGGCCUUCGGGUUGUAAACCGCUUUCGCCUGUGACGAAGCGUGAGUGACGGUAAUGGGUAAAGAAGCACCGGCUAACUACGUG
rnacentral:rRNA from 1 species